GCUGGGUGUGGUGGUGCACAUCUGUAAUCCCAGCUACUCGGGAGGCUGAGGCAGGAGAAUCGUUUGAACCCAGGAGGUGGAGGUUGCAGUGAGCUGAGAUUGUGCCACUGCAUUCCAGCCUGGGCAAUAGAGUGAGACUCUGUCUCAA
rnacentral:sRNA from 1 species